rnacentral:rRNA from 1 species
CUAAUACAUGCAAGUCGAGCGGACAGAUGGGAGCUUGCUCCCUGAUGUCAGCGGCGGACGGGUGAGUAACACGUGGGUAACCUGCCUGUAAGACUGGGAUAACUCCGGGAAACCGGGGCUAAUACCGGAUGCUUGAUUGAACCGCAUGGUUCAAUUAUAAAAGGUGGCUUUUAGCUACCACUUACAGAUGGACCCGCGGCGCAUUAGCUAGUUGGUGAGGUAACGGCUCACCAAGGCAACGAUGCGUAGCCGACCUGAGAGGGUGAUCGGCCACACUGGGACUGAGACACGGCCCAGACUCCUACGGGAGGCAGCAGUAGGGAAUCUUCCGCAAUGGACRAAAGUCUGACGGAGCAACGCCGCGUGAGUGAUGAAGGUUUUCGGAUCGUAAAACUCUGUUGUUAGGGAAGAACAAGUACCGUUCGAAUAGGGCGGUACCUUGACGGUACCUAACCAGAAAGCCACGGCUAACUACGUGCCASCAGCCGCGGUAAUACGUAGGUGGCAAGCGUUGUCCGGAAUUAUUGGGCGUAAAGCGCGCGCAGGCGGUUUCUUAAGUCUGAUGUGAAAGCCCCCGGCUCAACCGGGGAGGGUCAUUGGAAACUGGGGAACUUGAGUGCAAAAAAGGAGAGUGGAAUUCCACGUGUAGCGGUGAAAUGCGUAGAGAUGUGGAGGAACACCAGUGGCGAAGGCGACUCUCUGGUCUGUAACUGACGCUGAGGCGCGAAAGCGUGGGGAGCGAACAGGAUUAGAUACCCUGGUAGUCCACCCCGUAAACGAUGAGUGCUAAGUGUUAGAGGGUUUCCGCCCUUUAGUGCUGCAGCAAACGCCAUUAAGCACUCCGCCUGGGGAGUACGGUCGCAAAGACUGAAACUCAAAGGAAUUGACGGGGGCCCGCACAAGCGGUGGAACCAUGUGGUUUAAUUCGAAGCACGCGAAAAACCUUACCAGGUCUUGACUUCCUCUGACAACCCUAGAGAUAGGGCUUCCCCUUCGGGGG